GGCUUCGUAGCUCAUCUGCUAGAGCAUUUAUUGCGUUUGGACAUGUUCCUGUCGCUGGUUCGAAUCCAGCCAAAGUCU